rnacentral:tRNA from 1 species
GGGGACGUGGUGAAAUGGCAGACACACUAUCUUGAGGGGGUAGCGCGCGAAAGCGCAUGAGGGUUCAACUCCCUCCGUCCCCA